rnacentral:rRNA from 1 species
AGUGAACGCUGGCGGUAGGCCUAACACAUGCAAGUCGAACGGCAGCACAGUAAGAGCUUGCUCUUACGGGUGGCGAGUGGCGGACGGGUGAGGAAUACAUCGGAAUCUACUUUUUCGGGGGGGAUAACGUAGGGAAACUUACGCUAAUAGCGCAUACGACCUACGGGGGAAAGCAGGGGAUCUUCGGACCUUGCGCGAUUGAAUGAGCCGAUGUCGGAUUAGCUAGUUGGCGGGGUAAAGGCCCACCAAGGCGACGAUCCGUAGCUGGUCUGAGAGGAUGAUCAGCCACACUGGAACUGAGACACGGUCCAGACUCCUACGGGAGGCAGCAGUGGGGAAUCUUGGACAAUGGGCGCAAGCCUGAUCCAGCCAUGCCGCGUGAGUGAAGAAGGCCUUCGGGUUGUAAAGCCCUUUUGUUAGGAAAGAACAGCAGCAGGUUAAUCCCCCGCUGUUCUGACGGUACCCAAAGAAUAAGCACCGGCUAACUUCGUG